rnacentral:rRNA from 1 species
UAGUAAUCGCGAAUCAGCAUGUCGCGGUGAAUACGUUCCCGGGCCUUGUACACACCGCCCGUCACACCAUGAGAGUUGGCAAUACCCAACGUACGUGAUCUAACCCGCAAGGGAGGAAGCGUCCUAAGGUAGGGUCAGCGAUUGGGGUGAAGUCGUAACAAGGUAAC